UACGGGGGGGCAAGCGUUGUUCGGAAUUAUUUGGGCGUAAAGAGCUCGUAGGCGGUGUGUCGCGUCGGCCGUGAAAACCUGCAGCUUAACUGUGGGCUUGCGGUCGAUACGGGCAUCACUGGAGUUCGGCAGGGGAGACUGGAAUUCCUGGUGUAGCGGUGAAAUGCGCAGAUAUCAGGAGGAACACCCGUGGCGAAAGCGGCUCUCUGGGACGGUACUGACGCUGAGACGCGAAAGCGUGGGGAGCAAACAGG
rnacentral:rRNA from 1 species